rnacentral:rRNA from 1 species
AACGAACGCUGGCGGCAUGCCUAACACAUGCAAGUCGAGCGAGACCUUCGGGUCUAGUGGCGCACGGGUGCGUAACGCGUGGGAACCUGCCCUUAGGUUCGGAAUAACUCCCCGAAAGGGGUGCUAAUACCGGAUAAUGUCUUCGGACCAAAGAUUUAUCGCCUUUGGAUGGGCCCGCGUUGGAUUAGCUAGUUGGUAGGGUAAAAGCCUACCAAGGCGACGACCCAUAGCUGGUCUGAGAGGAUGAUCAGCCACACUGGGACUGAGACACGGCCCAGACUCCUACGGGAGGCAGCAGUGGGGAAUAUUGGACAAUGGGCGAAAGCCUGAUCCAGCAAUGCCGCGUGAGUGAUGAAGGCCUUAGGGUUGUAAAGCUCUUUUACCCGGGAUGAUAAUGACAGUACCGGGAGAAUAAGCUCCGGCUAACUCCGUG